UAAGGAAUAUUGGUCAAUGGGCGGAAGCCUGAACCAGCCAUGCCGCGUGCAGGAAGACGGCCCUACGGGUUGUAAACUGCUUUUAUACGGGAAUAAACCCUGAUACGUGUAUCAGGCUGAAUGUACUGUAAGAAUAAGGAUCGGCUAACUCCGUGCCAGCAGCCGCGGUAAUACGGAGGAUCCAAGCGUUAUCCGGAUUUAUUGGGUUUAAAGGGUGCGUAGGCGGCCUGUUAAGUCAGGGGUGAAAGACGGUAGCUCAACUAUCGCAGUGCCCUUGAUACUGAUGGGCUUGAAUACACUAGAGGUAGGCGGAAUGUGACAAGUAGCGGUGAAAUGCAUAGAUAUGUCACAGAACACCAAUUGCGAAGGCAGCUUACUAUGGUGUCAUUGACGCUGAGGCACGAAAGCGUGGGGAUCAAACAGGAUUAGAUACCCCCGUAGUCC
rnacentral:rRNA from 1 species